AUUGAACGCUGGCGGCAGGCCUAACACAUGCAAGUCGAGCGAGCGGCGGACGGGUGAGUAAUGUCUGGGAAACUGCCCGAUAGAGGGGGAUAACUACUGGAAACGGUAGCUAAUACCGCAUACUAUCGGAUGAACCCAUAUGGGAUUAGCUAGUUGGUGGGGUAAAGGCUCACCAAGGCGACGAUCCCUAGCUGGUCUGAGAGGAUGAUCAGCCACACUGGGACGGAUACACGGUCCAGACUCCUACGGGAGGCAGCAGUGGGGAAUAUUGCACAAUGGGCGCAAGCCUGAUGCAGCCAUGCCGCGUGUAUGAAGAAGGCCUUAGGGUUGUAAAGUACUUUCAGCGGGGAGGCGUUACCCGCAGAAGAAGCACCGGCUAACUCCGUGCCAGCAGCCGCGGUAAUUC
rnacentral:rRNA from 1 species